UCUUUCUGCUACAGGUUAAUUAGGAACCUUUCCUUAAAAAAAGAGAGAACAAGGAGACAGCUUAGGGGACAGCAGGCAGGAGGGGUACAUGGCAGUCAUAUUUUUAGGCUGAGGGGUGAAGAAUGAGAAGAUAAAUAAGGCUAGAAAACGGCAUGUCCUGGGAUCUGGGAGCAUCCAGCACUUCUAUCCAAGCCAGUGAUGAUGUGUCCAGGAGGGAUGGCUGACCGUGGCGACAUGAGUUCAGAGGAAUCAGGAAGUCUGUGGCAAUAACUGAUAAACUAUCAGAACAAUUUUUAGUUACUUAAAUGCAUUUAAGCACACACACUAUUGCUAUGUGUAUGCAUCCUGUAACUAGCUUACUUUUCUUCAUCUCAAACCUGUCGCCAAGAAAUAAUGAAAAACUUCAUGUUAGAAAAUGAAGGGUUUUGUUCUAUUUUGUUCUAUGUUUUUUUCCCCCAGAAGUGACCCUAAUGAUAAAGCGACUCACAUGCAAAAGAAGCUCUCUCCCAAGUGGUCCUUAAAGGAAGAUAGAUGCACUCAUGACAGAUAAGAAAAUGGAUUACUUUCUUAUAAUAAUCCUGGACACCAGGGGCUUUUGGGGGGUUCUGUCCAUCUCAUUCUUCUCUCUGUCUUUUACAUUCUCAGUUCAGCCACUCCUGUGCCUUCGAUGUGUUGUCAAUUCUCCUCAUGGCAGUGAGCUAAAUGUCCAGUUGCCUUCUAGAUCCGUUUGUCUAUGACCCAGGAGACCUUCCAUCCUGACCCUCUCUUUGAGGUUUAUUGCCACAUGUCCUCCUGGCUCAUGAAAUCAUCAUACGGUCCACCCAGCCCUUCAUCCCUUCUUCCUGCCUAUGCCCAGAGGUUCCCAGCAUUCCCUGCCCCGCACGCAAAGUUCUCAGCUCUCCUCUGCUCAGCCCACAGUGGGGAGCCCUUCUGCUCUUCCUGGGCAGGCACAUAAUUUCCCAGAUUGCCUACCUGGGACUGGGCUGCUGGUCUUGUGAGUGCAGUGCAUGCCGUGUGUGUGUGUGUGUGUGUGUGUGUGUGUGUGUGUGUGUGUGUGUGUGUGUGUGUGUGCGCGCGUGCGUGUGCGUGCGCGUGUGCGAGUGCGUGUGCGCGCGCGCUAGUGCGCACGUGUAUACAGAGUAGGUGUGGGAGUCAUAGUCCUUUGGUUCAGAAUCCAGCUUUUUAACUCAUACAACCUAACUCAGUUGCCUUUAGAGCCCAGUGCUCUCUCCUCCCAGGGUGGUAUUUAGCUCCAUCCCUGGGUUACAGUGAGGUAUCAGACAACAUGCACAAAUGUUUAGCCUAUGCCUGGCUUAUAGGAUGCUCUACAUUUUACACUAGCCAUUUUAUUCCUAUUAAAAUUAUUACUGAUUGAAGGAAAAACACAUCACUACCCUCUUGCCUAUAUUCCUUAUCUCUUCUUUGAGGGAUACACAACCCUUUUCUCAGUCUGCUCAUUCUCUGGGGCCCCCAUUUUUCAGGCCUAUACUCUCACAGCUUUUUCAGGGGCAGCCUGGCAACAGCCUGAAUCUUCAUAAUUCUGACAUUUCUCAUAUUUUGCGUGCUUGAAGUUCCUCGAGACUGGAGUGUGGACUGCUCUCACUGCCUGUCUUUCUGUAUCCUCCUUGUGAAUUUCCAGGGUGCAGCUCCCAAGUUGAGAAUCCCAGGUUGGGCACCUGUUAGUUACCUCUGUGACUUUGAUUAAAACUCUUCAAUCUCCACACCUGGUUUCCUCAUCUGGAUGAAGAGGAAUGGGAUUAGCCAUGCACCUACUUCAGAGAGUUAAUCUCAGAGCUAAGUAAAUUUAUAGAUUUGCCUUGCAUAUUACAAGCCCAUAGGUUUUUAGCCUUACUGCUGUUAUUGGAUAUUUCUUUCAGGGAGCUUGCUGGGUGCCAUCCUCCCCCAGUGAAGGCAAAGUCGUCAGCAUCCUCUGCAGCCUUUCGUUUGGAUGCUAAUCACAAUAGGUCUCUUACUACACCUGGAGCUCACUGUUUCUUGGUCAGCUGGUUAACCAGAAGGCUCCAAUGGGUCUCCUGAUCCACCUCAUAUCAGCAACGAGACUAAAGGUCCACGUGGUAUCCACACACUGGCUGUAGAGGAGAAAGUAGGGAAAAGCC